rfam:Pseudobacteriovorax antillogorgiicola strain RKEM611 genome assembly, contig: Ga0139084_115
AGGAGCCGUAUGAGCCGAGAGGCUCACGUACGGGUCUGUGAGCAGUUCGAGGGGAAGUUCCUCUUACUGACUCGAC